rnacentral:rRNA from 1 species
CAAUAGCGUAUAUUAAAGUUGUUGCAGUUAAAAAGCUCGUAGUUGGAUUUCUGGUGGGAGCGAUCGGUCUGGCGCUUAGCGCGAGUACUUGCAUCGUCUCUGGCCAUCCUUGGGGAGAGUCUGUCUGGCAUUAAGUUGUCGGGCAGAGGAUCCUCAUCGUUUACUGUGAAAAAAUUAGAGUGUUCAAAGCAGGCUUAUGCCGUUGAAUAUAUUAGCAUGGAAUAAUAAGAUAGGACUUUGGUACUAUUUUGUUGGUUUGCGCACCAAAGUAAUGAUUAAUAGGGACAGUUGGGGGUAUUCGUAUUCCGUUGUCAGAGGUGAAAUUCUUGGAUUUACGGAAGACGAACUACUGCGAAAGCAUUUACCAAGGAUGUUUUCAUUAA